ACGCUGGCGGCGUGCCUAAUACAUGCAAGUCGAGCGGACCAAAGGGAGCUUGCUCCUGGAGGUUAGCGGCGAACGGGUGAGUAACACGUGGGCAACCUGCCUGUAAGACUGGGAUAACAUCGAGAAAUCGGUGCUAAUACCGGAUAAUAAAAAGAACUGCAUGGUACUUUUUUGAAAGAUGGUUUCGGCUAUCACUUACAGAUGGGCCCGCGGCGCAUUAGCUAGUUGGUGAGGUAACGGCUCACCAAGGCGACGAUGCGUAGCCGACCUGAGAGGGUGAUCGGCCACACUGGGACUGAGACACGGCCCAGACUCCUACGGGAGGCAGCAGUAGGGAAUCUUCCGCAAUGGACGAAAGUCUGACGGAGCAACGCCGCGUGAGUGAUGAAGGUUUUCGGAUCGUAAAACUCUGUUGUUAGGGAAGAACAAGUGCCGUUCGAAAGGGCGGCACCUUGACGGUACCUAUCGAGAAAGCCACGGCUAACUACGUG
rnacentral:rRNA from 1 species